CUACGCAGCUCCAGUUGCAUUAUGGGAUACAUUAACGGACCACAAGUGUGCAUCGCUUGCAUACUCAAACAUGGCUGCCCAAUAAGUAGGUCAUCCGGGUACUUCUCGCGUACCUCUUUGUGUAUACUAUAUAUUCGGACAUGCUAACCGCUCUAGCGUCCUCAUUUCGCGUACUAUUGAGUAUGGAAGUAUGCGAUUCCGGAUGCAGCUAAUACACAUAAAAAGGUACGCGAGAAGUACCCGGAUGACCUACUUCUUGGGCAGCCAUCUUUGAGUAUGCAAGCGAUGCGCACUUGCGGUCCGCUAAUGUAUCCCAUAAUGCAACUGAAGCUGCGUAGGCGAUCGAAGCGAAAGAAGAAACAAGAAUGAUAGUGGAGUCUUCCGUUCAAGUAUAUUUAAUAAUGCAGUCAGCAGAAGAGGGACACGUCACUCCUGUGGAUCUACAACAUGAAGGAUUUCAAAAAAUAAUAAUAAAAGAAGAAGAUGGAAGUUACUUUUAACUGAAAAAGGAUUUCUCCUGCUCCUCGUGUCCACGUUCCUCUACAACCCAAAAUCACC